rnacentral:misc_RNA from 1 species
GAUGAAGAACGUAGCGAAAUGCGAUACUUGGUGUGAAUUGCAGAAUCCCGUGAACCAUCGAGUCUUUGAACGCAAGUUGCGCCCGAAGCCAUUAGGCCGAGGGCACGCCUGCCUGGGCGUCACACAUCGUUGCCCCCCCAUCUACUCCUUCGGGAUUGCGGGGGGCGGAUGAUGGCCUCCCGUGCGCCUCGUCGCGCGGUUGGCAUAAAUGCCAAGUCCUCGGCGACGCACGCCACGACAAUCGGUGGUUGCGAAACCUCGGUUGCCCGUCGUGUGCGGUCGUCGCGCAUCGAGGGCUCGAAAAAAUUGCCGGGCUCCGGCUCGGCUUUCAACGCGACCCCAGGUCAGGCGGGGUUACCCGCUGAAUUUAAGCAUAUCAAUAAGCGGAGGA